GAACUCGACUGUUAUUUGUUUAGUUUAGUUUCUAGCAUAACUGGAAUAAAUAAAUAAAUAAAAAAAUCAUAUCAUAGAAUUUGCUGUGGAAAUGCAUUUUUCAGUUUUAUACGCUUACUCUCGUGUGCACGCAAUUUUUAUACAAAUACUUGAACAAUUAUUCAACAAAUGUAAACAUAUGGUGAAACGGGACAUCGCCAAGCGCCUCCAGGAAACAAUACUAGCACGGGUUGUCUUCUUCACGGAGGUAGGCUCCUGUCCCGACGGAAGAAGCCACAGAAGAAAUCUGCUAGGCUUCAUGAUCAAUUUGCAGCUGACGGGGGUAAACUGGGUGCAAAAAAUCGAAAAAAACGUGUCUUCACUUUAAAAGUGCAGCUUUCUGAUCGCUGCUUCGCCGCCUCCUAAAAGUGCAGCUUUCUGAUUGCUGCCUGGCCGCCUCCUAAAAGUGCAGCUUUCUGCUCCCUGCCUCGUCGCCUCCUAAAAAUGCAGCUUUCUCAUAAACACGAAAAUUGCUCGUAUGUCAAAAUUCAUUUUAGAUAGAACAAUUCAUCCACUUGGGCUACGAGGAGCAAUGUCGUUUGCUUUGGCUAUAAGAAACACUUUAUCAGAAGCCCGCUUAACCUUGCUAACCGCCACUUCUUUAGUUGUUAUAUUCACAGUCAUCAUCCAAGGUGGUGCCGUGAAUUUUUUACUUGAAAACGGGGACCUAAUACAAAGAUGUUUUAACAGUCCUCGUGGAGGCGAAUUUGUUGAAAUUGAAUGGUGACGUCACACACGCCUUACGGCCGACUGUCACUUUUAUACCCACCAUAACGUUGGACGGUUCCCAAAUGUCGCCAAGCCGCUAUAUUAAAAAAUAUAUUCGGCGAAAUUUGCAAAAUUGCUGGAGCACAUGAAGAUAUCGAAGCAAGUUGUCGCGAGUAUCUUUAAAAUUUCCAAGUCAAUCAGUUCAUGACGUAUGUUACGCAACUAUUGAGUUCUUAGUUGCGAUGGCUUGCCCACUCUUCUACUCUUCCACUUGUGUAUAAAUUUCAGUGAUGCACUACGGAAUAUCAUGGUUUAUUUAACAUUGAAGAGUUCCAGAUUGUAUGUGUUCACCAAAGGCUUCUAUUCUAUUUUGAGGUAUUCUUGAAUAUGUGCUAUAUACAUACAAAAUUUGAUAUUGUGACUAUAUUCCAAUUGAUUGAUGAUAGUACGAGAAAAAAGUGUUUUGUUUUUUAUUUUCGUCAACGUGCGCAGUGUGAGUACUUGUAGAAAAUUUUCUUUACUCUUUGAAUUCUUAUUGCUCCCGGCACAAAUAUGUAAUAAAUUAUCUUUUUUAAAUAUUUGACCAUUUUGUUUGUGUAAAUUGUGUGAAAGCAAAAGAAGUACCAUCUAUAAACCAAUUCUAGCUUUCUUACCGAUAAAUCUGUUAACUAACCCAGCAUUACAUUGAUACGGCGUUGAAUUUCUUUCGUUUGGCAUUAAUACGUCUUUUAACUCGUGGCCGUAAAAGUACACAUAUCAUCUACAAUAAUUAAUUAUUUAGUUAUAUUGGGCAUUGGGACUCAUAUGCAAAUGGCACUGCAGCCAAUGCUUGUACGCACUCUUGAUGGCAUGGAUGUUACCUGUUACCAUAUUGGAACUGGACAAUAUCACAAUGCUGUUGUUACCAACGGUCUAUUGCUCACUUGGGGGUGAGUUAUUUUUUAUAAAAAAUAUGUUUGACCUUGCGGAUGUUUUAUACCUUUACCAGACUACAACCAAUCGCCACGGUAACUAUUUUCCUAUAUUCGCUUGUUUUUCUAAACGCAUUACAUUCUGUAUAUUUAAUAGUAACAUGUGUCAGUGUCGAAUGGCUAAGCAGACAGAUGGGUACACCGUGCUUGAAUUGGCUUAAGCAAUUGUGGCGGUUAUUUCUUAUACCGGCUACGAUAUGGAGGAUGCCAAGAUUAUAAAUAAAUAUGCCUAUGAACGUGGUUUCGCUCACGGUAGCAUCUAUAUAUCAAAAUGUUUUGAAUUGAGUGGAACUUGCUAUUUUGCUCGUAAUCCGCAAACGCCAGAGCUUCGCGAACAUUUAGAUAAUGGCGGCUUACCUUAUCCGGGCAGCAGACUUGAAUAUGGUAGUUAAAUUGUUCUUAACAUGAACUCAAAAGUUUAUAGUAUAUUUUAGUUUUGACAAAUGUGUAACACGUAUGUGUCAUAAUCCUGAAAAUGGUCCUUUGUUAUUGGCUUGGAUAUUGGUGAACAUACGGUAUACCAACGCUUCGGAAAAUGGUCAGCAAGUUGCCGUCAAAUGGGCAAACGAGCAUUGGAUUUAAAUUGCUUUUCGUUUAGGCAUGAUAUGAUUUCAAACUCUAUAUAUAGAAAUAUAUAUGUAUAGAAACGUAGAAUCAGUUUUGGCUGCUUUUCUAAUAUUCUUUUGCAUUAGAUCGAUUCAUUGGUCUCCCGUAUAGCACGCAAGACGGUUUACAAUAUGUUGUGUUGUAUAUGCGAUUAUUUUGAUGGCGUUGGUUCUUGUUGUAAAUAUCCUUAUGUAUAUGACUUAUUAAGUGAACUAUUGGCAUGGCCCAGUUUGGCUAAAGAUUUUUGUAGUACAAAGGGUAAUUAAAAAAAUAAUUUCAAAGCUUUCAGCCAAAUAUAUAUAUUAAAAUAUUAUUUCGUUGAAAAUUACUUUCCACGCAAUCUUUAGAAGAAGAAACUCUGAUGCCACAAAGGUUGUGUAUCAAGUGUGUAAAUUUAUUAAAAAAUAUUUACGUUUUCCUCUUAGAGGCGCGAAAGUUACACGAGAUAUAUUUGAAAAAUGUUGUGAACAAUGAAGACUGUUUGCAAGAACCACCAAUUGAGUUGCCACAAGAGCCAGAAAUUAUUGUAGAUAUUAAGUCAGAGCAGCAGUUAUCGAAAACUCCUUCACACUUCGGUCUAGAUGGUCUAGAAGAAGAAGCAAAGCAAGAGCAAUUAAUGGAAAAUGCAAAAGAGGAAAUUGAUGAAAAGGAUGAGUAUUACCUAAACGAUGUUGGUCCAC